ACGAACGCUGGCGGCGUGCUUAACACAUGCAAGUCGAACGGAAAGGCCCUUCGGGGUACUCGAGUGGCGAACGGGUGAGUAACACGUGGGUGAUCUGCCCUGCACUUUGGGAUAAGCCUGGGAAACUGGGUCUAAUACCGAAUAUGAUCAUCGGCUUCAUGGUCGGUGGUGGAAAGCUUUUGCGGUGUGGGAUGGGCCCGCGGCCUAUCAGCUUGUUGGUGGGGUAAUGGCCUACCAAGGCGACGACGGGUAGCCGGCCUGAGAGGGUGACCGGCCACACUGGGACUGAGAUACGGCCCAGACUCCUACGGGAGGCAGCAGUGGGGAAUAUUGCACAAUGGGCGCAAGCCUGAUGCAGCGACGCCGCGUGAGGGAUGACGGCCUUCGGGUUGUAAAUCUCUUUCAGCACAGACGAAGCGCAAGUGACGGUAUGUGCAGAAGAAGGACCGGCCAACUACGUG
rnacentral:rRNA from 1 species